AGUCAAAGAAGAAGCAUAAGUCAAUAUAUAUGAAUAACAACAGUGGCUAUCCUCAACAUUUGCCAUGGAUAAACAUCUCAGCAAAAAAAAUCAAAAUUCAUUUGUAGCAAUAGUUAUAAUCGCAUUGGCCAGAAAUUUUCGACAAUCACACACGCAUUUAACGCUUCAAAACAUCACAUUCGAAAAAUAAACCAGCGAAUGCAGCACAAAACCAAUGAUAACCCUAAACAGCAUGAUGCUCCUCCCGCAUAAACGAGCGAAACCAGAGAAUUAAUCAUGGAAUCAAAUUUACAAAACCUUAAACUGGAGUUAUGGCAUAUAUACAACCCAUCUGAACCUUAUAACAACAGCUUAACAAUAUAAAUCUUCCUAUCACCAAGUAAAUGUUUUAUGGUCAAAAAGAUCUACCCAAAUCAAUAUAAACAAACCGCACUUGAAAUGAACUGCUUAAAACUGGAUGCAAAUAAACGAAGAUCUGGAUCGAAAAUAAACCAAGUAAAUACGGAAACGGGCAUAAGGGAUUACCGAAACAACAACUCGAUUAACAUUCAGACGCGUGAUAGAAGCAGAAAACCAGCUGCAUUAUCAAAAGUUGAAUUGUGUUGUUGGGUUAUGGCUGGCCUCGGAACAUUGACGAUGAAUGGUUUGUGUUGGAUGGCCUUGGACGGUCAAACCAGGUAGUGGGUUUCCAAACCAAUCCACAAUUUUGAGCCACACUUGCUUAUCCCUACUUUGGUUUUGACGCUUUAGCCGCAAUGAACAUAGAACCGGCCCUUGGCGUCUGCGAGACCGAAAUCGCUGAAAGGAUUCUACCUGCAAAAUAGAAAUAAGUUUAUAACCUAUCAAAGGUUCAAACAGCCAUCAAUGUGAUUCUGGGGUAGUGAUUGAUGCUGGAGUUCAUUAACAGCAUAAGACCGUUGGGGAAGGAGAAGGCCGAAGGCGUCGUGGCGGUGAUAACGAAGAAGACGAUCAAGAAAGAUGAGUGAGGUGGUGACGAGGGUUUACGGUGGUUGAAGGUGACGGCGGGUUUGUGAGGUGGCGAGCGGUGAGGUUGUGGGUUCGUGGGUUGAAUGAAGGUGAAGAUGGAGGGUUUUGAGAGUGGAGGAUUUGUGAUGGUAGAGAGGCGAUUGAAGGGUUUAGCGGUUUAAUGGAGGUGGCGGCGGGAGCUAGCGGCGAGGGUUUCGUCGGCGGUGGAUGAAGAGGGUUAAGGGUUAAUCGAUGGGGUUUUGAUGGUGACGAUGGAGGUGAAGGUAAAUCGUUGGAUGGUGAAGGUGAGCGACGAAGGUUUUUGUGAAGAAGAUGGAGGCGACGGUUUGUGUGAGGGAGAUUUCUGAGGUUUUGUGAGGUUUGUGUGCGAAGGUUAUGUGAGAGAAUGAGUGACGCGUGUGUGACCGUUGGGAGUGGAUGAGUGAGUGGAUCUUUUAG
rnacentral:lncRNA from 1 species